rnacentral:rRNA from 1 species
UAGGGAAUCUUCGGCAAUGGACGGAAGUCUGACCGAGCAACGCCGCGUGAGUGAAGAAGGUUUUCGGAUCGUAAAGCUCUAUUGUAAGAGAAGAACGAGUGUGAGAGUGGAAAGUUCACACUGUGACGGUAUCUUACCAGAAAGGGACGGCUAACUACGUGCCAGCAGCCGCGGUAAUACGUAGGUCCCGAGCGUUGUCCGGAUUUAUUGGGCGUAAAGCGAGCGCAGGCGGUUAGAUAAGUCUGAAGUUAAAGGCUGUGGCUUAACCAUAGUAGGCUUUGGAAACUGUUUAACUUGAGUGCAAGAGGGGAGAGUGGAAUUCCAUGUGUAGCGGUGAAAUGCGUAGAUAUAUGGAGGAACACCGGUGGCGAAAGCGGCUCUCUGGCUUGUAACUGACGCUGAGGCUCGAAAGCGUGGGGAGCAAACAGGAUUAGAUACCCUGGUAGUCCACGCUGUAAACGAUGAGUGCUAGGUGUUAGACCCUUUCCGGGGUUUAGUGCCGUAGCUAACGCAUUAAGCACUCCGCCUGGGGAGUACGACCGCAAGGUUG